AUUAGUUCCUAGAACAAUUCUCGGUGGACUAGCGUCUACAUGAAGCCAGAAUGAUACCCAGGAAAUAACAACAAUCAAUACCGAUGCUAGUGGUCAGUCAGCCUGUGAAAAAUCGAUUGUUCAAUUUACCAAAGUGACCAUAAUGUUGCUGUGCCGCAGUGUAAGAGACCUCAGUCUCGUUAACCCAUUUCUCAACCAGUCGAUACUCUGUUAAAUGCAAUUCUUUAGACAGUACUAUUGGCGAUUCAUCCCAGUCUAAUUUCAUAUCUUGGGCGCUAUAUCUGUUAAAUUCAGUAUAAUUAAAAAUAAUUAAUUUAAAUGAAUGCAUCGAAGAUUUAUUAAGACUACUUACAACUUUCAAAUAUCAGGGGGCAUUCCUGUACAUCGAAGGGAAAUUUUUCCAGAUAUCACAUCAAUCGAUUAACCAGUAAUGUGUAUUAUAGCUUCGCUGAUGUUUAAAGAUAACUACUAUUUUUUCGUACCUUGUAU
rnacentral:lncRNA from 1 species